AGAAUAAGGGAAGUCGACUGGAGAGUCUAUCCCGUCGAUGCAGCACAGUAAAGACACUGCAGUAAGUCAACCUAAGCUGUUGAUGCCAG